AUUGAACGCUGGCGGCAGGCUUAACACAUGCAAGUCGAGCGGGAAAGAGUAGCUUGCUACUUAACCUAGCGGCGGACGGGUGAGUAAUGCUUAGGAAUCUGCCUAUUAGUGGGGGACAACAUCUCGAAAGGGAUGCUAAUACCGCAUACGUCCUACGGGAGAAAGCAGGGGACCUUCGGGCCUUGCGCUAAUAGAUGAGCCUAAGUCGGAUUAGCUAGUUGGUGGGGUAAAGGCCUACCAAGGCGACGAUCUGUAGCGGGUCUGAGAGGAUGAUCCGCCACACUGGGACUGAGACACGGCCCAGACUCCUACGGGAGGCAGCAGUUGGGAAUAUUGGACAAUGGGGGGAACCCUGAUCCAGCCAUGCCGCGUGUGUGAAGAAGGCCUUUUGGUUGUAAAGCACUUUAAGCGAGGAGGAGGCUACCGAGAUUAAUACUCUUGGAUAGUGGACGUUACUCGCAGAAUAAGCACCGGCUAACUCUGUGCCAACCGCCGCGGUAACAC
rnacentral:rRNA from 1 species